rnacentral:misc_RNA from 1 species
GAACGCACAUUGCACCCUCUGGUAUUCCGGAGGGUAUGCCUGUUUGAGUGUCAUUAAUAUCUCAACACAGUCAAGUUAUUUGACUUGCACUGAUGCUUGGAUGCUGAAGGUUGUUGGCAAUAUUUGUCAGCUCCUUUUAAAUGUAUUAGCAGAAACCUAUGCAAAAAGCUGGCUUCAGUUUGAUAAGCACUUAUCUGUAUUGCUGUUGCUAGUGAAAUGCCCUUGUUCAGCUUCCAAUUGUCCAAGCCCUUGGACUGCCUCUCGGGGUAAUUUAAUCUUGACAUUUGACCUCAAAUCAGGUAGGACUACCCGCUGAACUUA